AUUGAACGCUGGCGGCAGGCCUAACACAUGCAAGUCGAGCGGAAGAAGCGGGCUUGCUCCUUGAUUCAGCGGUGGACGGGUGAGUAACGCCUAGGUAUCUCCCUGGUAGUGGGGGAUAACGUCCGGUAACGGCCUCUAAUACCGCAUCCGUUUCGCGGGAGAAAGUGAGGGUUCUUCGGACCUCACGCUAUGAGAUGCUCCUAGGUCGGAUUAGCUAGUUGGUGGGGUAAAGGCCUACCAAGGCGACGACCCGUAACUGGUCUGAGAGGAUGAUCAGUCACACUGGAACUGAGACACGGUCCAGACUCCGACGGGAGGCAGCAGUGGGGAAUAGUGGACAAGGGGCGAAAGCCGGAUCCAGCCAUGCCGCGUGUGUGAAGAAGGUCUUCGGAUUGGAGAUGACUUCAAGUUGGGAGGAAGGGCAGUAAGUCAAGACGGUGGUGUUGUGACGUUACCAAUAGAAUAAGCACCGGCUAACUUCGUG
rnacentral:rRNA from 1 species